rnacentral:lncRNA from 1 species
GGAAUUCACAAACUCCACCUCUCCUGCCAAUUCAACUAACAGCUUCAGCGCUCCUAAACGGUUUUGUUUCACAGCGGAAUGCAGAAUGGUCUCGCCUUGAUCCAAUUUGUACCGAGUCACUUGUGGUCGGGCCCCAACCAGCAUCCUUGUGACCUCAACUUCGCCUUUCAUUACCGCCAGAUGGAGGGGCAUUCUUCCAUCUUCAUCACGGAUGAGACAAGCGUCAGGAUUGGAGGACAGCAGUAUGUUAACCAUCUCAACAUAGCCAUUGGCAGAAGCCAAGUGUAGAGGCGAACGCCCCCGCAAAUCCAGCGCCCUGGUCAUGUCUGGUUUGUGAGUAAGAAGAUAGCUUGCGAAGUCGAGGUGACCGAGCAUGGCGGCUACGUGGAGUGGAGUCUCAUUAAAGCAUGUGACUGCAGCUCGAGCAAGAGUGAGUGGGUCUUUUGCGAUCAACCGCUUCAAGGAAUUCACACUUCCGGUUACUGAUGCUUCAUACAGCCUUCUCU